UGCCCUAACCACUACCGAGUGAUAACUGAAAAUAAUUACGCAAGAUAAAUAUUUGUAACAAUGAUCUAUAUCAUUUUAUUUAGCAUAGAUAAAAAAAAUAGAAGCAGUACAAAUUGAACAUUUACGUUCUAUAUAAAUAAUCUUAUUAAAAUAAAAGAAAUGAUUCAUAUUACUUCAAAAUUUAAAGUGACAUUCAUAUAUUUUUUAGCAAAUAAAAAGACAUUCAAAUAAUUUUGAGAAUAUGGUUCAACAUCUGGCCUCGGGCCUUCAGAGAUGCAGCCUAUAUUAUAUAAAUGUAUAUAUAUGUGCUAUGUCGACUAUAGGUAAUUAGGUAUAUAAUAAGAAAAUAAUUGAUCGUAACAAAAGAUAUAGGUAAAUACCAAAGAAUAAAUGAAACUGAUAUAUGUAACUUAGAAAUGGAAUGUGGAAAUGAACUUAUCGGCAUUAAUUAAAGAGAGAAUAAGUAAAAGAUUGAGCAGAAAGACGUCAUUGCUUACCCUAAUCUCUCAAUCUUUGUCCAAUACGUCUACAAUAACGUAGCCUUUUCUAAAUUUUAUACUAUAAACACACUUUCUUUAUUUUACUUUCUUUGUUCCGACUCCGACUUAUUGUUUUUUUUUUCAGCUUUACAACAAAUCACUGAGUGAGAUUCAGACCAUCACCGAGAACAAAAAUUAGACAUGAUCAGAUCCCGCUGACUCAUCAUCAUCAUCAUAAAUAAAUUAAUCAAUAUAUCAUCACCAUCAUCAAUUCAUCAUUAAUGUAAUAAGAAUCUUUAUUCAAAAUAAUUAAACGUAAAGACAAACUACAUGUUUAAGAUGAAUGUUUUUCAGGAGAAGAGAAGAAAGCGUCGUAAAGAGUUCAGAGUUAGUAGUGAAGAAAAUAUGGAGAAGAUAAUGCACAGAGAAGUUGAGAAACAAAGGAGACAAGAAAUGACUUCUCUUUACGUGUCUUCUCGGUCUUCACUCUAUUGAGUUCAUCCAGGGAAAGCGUUCUACGUCAGAUCAGUUGAACGAGGAGGUGAAUUACAUAAAGUAUCUUCAGAGGGGGAGUAUAAAUGCACACGGUCAGAUAACUGGAUUUAAUUGACUUCGCCGAUUCAAGAAUACACUUCCAUGCUUACCCUAAUGAACUAAUUGUUUCCUUAACUUCUCAAACCCAAAACGAUGCAUAUACAUAGACUGUUACCUUGCACUUGUACUGUAAAUUUGUAUAUUUAUGUGUUUGCUGAUUUUGAAAAGAAAUUGUGUGCUUCCCUAUUUUUAAAGAAUUUACGAGAACAAAUAUAUUUUGUUGAAAAAAAGAUUUAUUGGAAUCACCAUAUUUCGGCAUUUUAAUCUUGGAUUUUUGACGAAAUAAUGUUAUACUUCGCAGUCACAAAGAAAGACCAUCUUUUUCUAUCUUCAAAUUUUUUGAGAAAGAGUCUGAGACGGAUCAGAAUGCACUUAAAAGUUCAAGAUCUUCAAGAUAUUAGUUAAUUAUAAAACUCAGAGUUUAUGUUAGUACGAGUAUUUUCUAAAGACAUCCCGGCAUAGUAAUUCCUUUUUUGGGGUAAAAUAUCUGAGGUCAAUUCCGAAGUUUAAGAGGAUAGUUUUACAAAAUUGUCUCGUUUUAAUAAAUCCAGCUUGCUUUAUCUAAGAACCCGUUCCACUUAACAUAUAUAACCCGCUGUAUGCAAUACAUGUUAAAUGAACGGGUUAUUCCAUGUUGAAAUUCCUAAACAUAUAUACUUAAUUUUAUAAAUAUUGUUUUCGCCAUUAACUGCAGAUAUACUGCCCAACAUAAAAUAUACAAGACAUAUCAUCCUGUAUCGGUCUAUCCAUUAGUGUACCAGUCUUGUCGACCAUUUUCUUGGUCAUUAGCUUCAAUUAUAUGAGGUGUUUCAAAAAACAAAACAAAAUAGAUCAUCCUCUAUGGCUCUAUCCAUUAUACAAACUUAUUGUUAUCACGUGAAGGUAUAUCUACCAACUCAUCCUGUAUUUGAUAUUACACCUCAUUUUCUCUCCCCCACCCUUAUCUCUUGUAAUUAAAGUUCAAAACCACUUCAUCUCCACGUGUGGAGCCUCCAUUCCAUAUAUAUGGUUCUUUUAUUUAUAAUUUUUUUUUCUGAAUUGCAUGUCCUUAAGUAGCAUAAAAUAUGGUAUAUGAAGAAAAAUUGUUUCCAAACUAUUUUUCUCAUGGAGUUCAACGUGUGCCAUGACUCCCAGAUUUGCUAGCCCAGUUGAGCCAGUGACUGGUCCAUAUGUUUUGUUGUCGUUAGUUACGAGCACUGUCAUUCAAUGUAUCAAUACAUUUUGGUAAUAACGUCAAUUUUUUGGCGAUUAAAAUCAUGAACGUUUUGUCGUGUUAGCUUGGCAUAUAUUUCAGCAACGAAUCGUUAAACUUAAACGCUUUCUGUGUGUUUGUUGAAUUCAGAAAACAAAAAGAGGUUACAGUUAAGUAGAGAAAGAAAAACAAGCAAGUGAACAUAAAACGCUUUCUGUUGUCCCGCCGAGUUGGUAGCGCGUGUUGUGUCGUUUAGCUCCUCGUUGGCUCGAUUUACCUCCGGGGUGGCUCCUGGUGGUGGCUUCAGCUGCGUGUGGAGUUGGGGGUCUAGGGUUUGCCGGAACUUGGAAACUCGAGUGGUGUUGAGGCACUGGUUCUUGGUAACUCCAGAUCUCUCUUCUGAAUCUGUGAGCCACCGUCGUGUUCUCAGGUGGUGGCUGCGCGUGGGUUUCGUCGAGGAUGGAGACGUCCGUCCGGUUUCCCUGUGGCGUCGCGUAGUGUGUGGUUUCACAUGGUGUGCUUCGUGGUUUAGCUCCCGUGUGCUUCUUCAUCGCUCAGAACUCAGUGGUGAUGACGUUUGUGGCCUUCUCCGUUGCUAGCUUUUCUCAAAUAAUCUCAGCAGGUUCGUGUUCGUGGCUUGGCAACAACUUCUGGCUCGACUGUGUUUUUGCUGGUGUGAUAGUAAGUCAGCGGGGGCUCGAGCGUGGCUUCGGUUUAGUUGCCUCCGGAGGAGCUGUCCGUCUACCGACCCAUAUUCUCUUCGGGUUGUGGUUAAAUGAGUGUAUACUGUCCCCGAGAAAUGCAAUGGAGGCGGUAAUCUCCGGCGUAAACCUCGGAACGACGGCACUGUUGGUCUUCGGCUUUUCCUCGUACCGCCGGUGGUCUCUUUUAUCUUGCUUGCUCUGUGUCCGUGGUUGGAUUCUGCGCUCUGCUUCGCUCUGGGUUAUCGGCUAGAAGCUGUAGGUAACUGUUGCAUUCAGGGUUUGAGGGCGCCCUUCUCUCAGUGCUCGUGGCAACCGGCCGGUCUUCUCAUCUAGUUUCAGGGUUGUUAGGUCUUACCUCGUCUCGCUAUUACUUUGUUUUAACCGGUUGUGCUGCGUUGUUAAUCAGUCCGAGCCUUUAUUUGCUGUCUUUAGUUUGUUUGUGUUGUUGUUUUUAUUUCCGCUACUAGUCAUCUAUUGUAUCGUCUGUCAAAAAUUGAAAAUUGGUAAUAAUAUUUUAA